rnacentral:rRNA from 1 species
CCUACGGGUGGCUGCAGUGGGGAAUAUUGGACAAUGGGCGCAAGCCUGAUCCAGCCAUGCCGCGUGUGUGAAGAAGGCCUUCGGGUUGUAAAGCACUUUCAGUGGGGAAGAAAGCCUUGGGGCUAAUACCCUCGAGGAAGGACAUCACCCACAGAAGAAGCACCGGCUAACUCCGUGCCAGCAGCCGCGGUAAUACGGAGGGUGCGAGCGUUAAUCGGAAUUACUGGGCGUAAAGCGCGCGUAGGCGGUCUGAUAAGCCGGUUGUGAAAGCCCCGGGCUCAACCUGGGAACGGCAUCCGGAACUGUCAGGCUAGAGUGCAGGAGAGGAAGGUAGAAUUCCCGGUGUAGCGGUGAAAUGCGUAGAGAUCGGGAGGAAUACCAGUGGCGAAGGCGGCCUUCUGGACUGACACUGACGCUGAGGUGCGAAAGCGUGGGUAGCAAACAGGAUUAGAUACCCGUGUAGUC